UGUUCUGUAGGUCACUUGUGGCUUUAGAAAAAGAAAAGCAUUUGUAAUCCACAGUGAUUUUAAGGACUGUAAAAAUUGUUUAGCUGUUAACGAGCUGUGAGCACUUGAUAGCUGACAGCAAGACAUGUGUAUCACCUUCGGUGCAUUCUCACAUUCUUGUGACAAAGCUGGUUCAGCAAAACAUUUUUAAUCCUUCUUUCUGGCUGGCAAAGAAGAGACAUGUUAUGCAGGUAGACGCAUCCUGAAUCUGAGACUUUUUUAGUGACUAAAAAUAACAACAGUUAUGGAUGUCCUCUACAACUGGCGAUUGGCGAGCAAAUAUGGAGAUGAAGAAGGAACAGAGGUCUUCAAGCAAGCCCCAAGACUGGUGCCUGGGAGAACGAAGAACUGAGAAAAUAUCAGUAUAACUAGUGAUUAGCUCCAGGCACCAUGUUCAGAUCCAAACUACUACUUUUUAUCUCUACCCUUUGGCGAGUAACAUUUGAUAUUCCUCAGAAAUACCUAAGAGAGGAGUUCUCAUCUUCCUGUGAGACCAGCCCUGGGAGAGACAACACCUGGUUGCUCAGGAGCAAACCUUCACCAUACCCUGGCCCCCAGGGAUGCUCCCGGAGAUGCAGAAGGCAGCUUCUUUCUCAUAUCUCUUUACUCACAGCAUCUGCUGCCAGCUCUUACCCCACAUGUGCCUUCUCCAAGUCAUGCCACAUCCAAAGGGCUAAAAAGCUGCUAAAGGACAGAAGACAUCUUUUGAUUUUAUGGCCUGACCAACAGUCAACGCUCACUGGAACACUCUUUCACAACGAUCAGAGAAAAGGGCCGCUUUGUUCCUCACUGUAUCACAUCCUUUUGGUCACCCUUUUCACUGCAGAAGGAGGACAGCAGCAAAGGGCACUCAGGAUUACACCUAGCAGUGGAAAUAUCCCCACAAAAACAUAUGAGCCGAGGGGUACUGUGUCAAUCAAGUGGCAGAAGGGCUGGGCUGCAUUGCCAACUGUUUUACUACAUGGUAAGAUGACACUUGGUGAUACUUCUUAAGACAGUAGCAACUGGACUUGUGUUAUCAUAUGAAAAAUCUUUUAUUAUUCUUUUCUCUCUGAAUAUCAGCUUGAAACAAAGAACUGAAGAC